UUCCGGCCAAUGGCCGGUCACCGGUCCAAUCGCCGGACCACCGUCGCCGUCGGUGGCCGAAAAAGGUAAAAUUUUAUUUUUUUAUAUUAUAUUUUUAUAUGUAUUUAUUAAAUAUAUGUUGAUAGAUAAAAAAAUAGGUUCAAAAAAUGAAAAGGAAAUAAAAUAAAUCACCUUUGGCCUUCCGUUUAGGCUUUUGGUGUUUGGUUCUCUGAUUUGUGAAGGUUCUUCUACUUUUACACCACUAGAGUCGCUUGUUUUCCUUCUGUUUUAUAUAUAUUGGUUGCUGAAAUUUGGCUUUUUUAUUAAGAUUUGCCGAAAAAUAAUCCCUACAUUUGAUGUUUUGAUGGCUUUUUAUAGCCUUUACAUGCAUUUUUAUUAAUAUUACUUUACUGUAUUCUUCUUGCAGGAGCAGUUGAGCGGUGGAGGUGACCGGUGGUGCAGGGAAUGGUGCUGUUAGUUGGUGUCAGGGACAAGUGUGGGGUAGGUGGUUCGGCUAAGGGUGAUUAGGGUUAGGGUGGUUAGGGUAUUGGGCUUGUAUGUUGGGUUUGGGUAUUAGGUUGGUAUUGGGCUGAGGGUGGAUUAGAUGGUUUAAGGGGUUUGGGUUGUAAAAAGGUUUAUGUUCGGGCCCGGGCAAUUUGGGCUUUUACAAUUGUAAGAGAAAAACAUACAGUUGCUUCACCUAAUCACGUUGUAAAAGAAACAGCUAAGAAUGAAACAAGAGUGAGACGUAUGAAAAAAUGGGAGAUUAGUAGAUCCUGGGCCAUUCUAUUAUAGAAAAUAGAUGACCUUCAUUUCUUUCUCUAGCCAAGCUACUCCCUGAUGUCUCAUGGAAAAAGAAAAUGUUUCAGAAAUAAGAAAGAUUGUUUCAAAUGCAAGAGCUUGUUUUAAACGAGUUGUCUUUAAUUGGAUUCAAUUGUUGGUGGUUUCUAGGAUUUUGUUUGGAGACGAAGGAAAGUGGGAGAUGACUGGAAUUUGUUUUAUCCUAUCUUUUAACUCUUUAGCUUUUAUAUCAUGAUAUGUCUCAACCAAAUAUCAAAUUAUACCUAGAUUGAGAUUUCAUUGUAGGAUGAUUGUUUAUCGUUCAAAAAAGAUUGCAAUUUGUGUACCAGUGGGGAAAAAUCAUUGUUUGUUGUAUAAUAUAAAGAAGUGAAAAUUUUUGUUGUAAAUGAAUGUGAACUAAGCAUG
rnacentral:lncRNA from 1 species